UGCCUGUCCCGUCUUGAAACACGGACCAAGGAGUCUAACAUGUGUGCGAGUUUUUGGGUGGCAAACCCAUGAGCGUAAUGAAAGUGAAUGCAGGUGGGAUCCGCAAGGAGCACCAUCGACCGGCCCUGAUGUUCUCGGAUGGGUCUGCGUAAGAGCAUAUAUGUUGGGACCCGAAAGAUGGUGAACUAUGCCUGAAUAGGGCGA
rnacentral:rRNA from 1 species